rnacentral:rRNA from 1 species
GACGAGCGGCGGACGGGUGAGUAAUGUCUGGGAAACUGCCUGAUGGAGGGGGAUAACUACUGGAAACGGUAGCUAAUACCGAUAACGUCGCAAGACCAAAGAGGGGGACCUUCGGGCCUCUUGCCAUCAGAUGUGCCCAGAUAGGAUUAGCUAGUAGGUGGGGUAACGGGUCACCUAGGCGACGAUCCCUAGCUGGUCUGAGAGGAUGACCAGCACACUUGGAACUUGAGACACGGUCCAAGAUCCUACGGGAGGCAAGCAAGUGGGGGAAUAUUGGACAAUGGGGGCAAGCCUGAUGCAGCCAUGCCGGUGUACUGAAGAAGGGCCUUCGGGUUGUAAAGACCUUUCAGCGGGGAGGAAGGUGUAAGAGGAAAAAAAGCACAGAGAAAUUGUGACAGUAAGCAGAAGAAAGAAAUGNGCCAAGCCCAGGGGAGUAAANCGAUCCCCCGGUCAGGCCCAAAGGCAANANACCCGGGCGGGGCAAAAANAAACCACGNGNAGAGGGGUUGCCAAAAGAGCCGGGNNAACAACACCCCGGGGAGAAUUCAAACAUACGGGGNGCCGGUACACACACAGGCAUGCGCCAACAGCACCAAGAGG